rnacentral:rRNA from 1 species
UGGGGAAUAUUGCACAAUGGGGGAAACCCUGAUGCAGCGACGCCGCGUGAGUGAGGAAGUAUUUCGGUAUGUAAAGCUCUAUCAGCAGGGAAGAAAAUGACGGUACCUGACUAAGAAGCCCCGGCUAACUACGUGCCAGCAGCCGCGGUAAUACGUAGGGGGCAAGCGUUAUCCGGAUUUACUGGGUGUAAAGGGAGCGUAGACGGCUAAUUAAGUCAGAAGUGAAAACCCAGGGCUCAACUUUGGGACUGCUUUUGAAACUGAGUAGCUAGAGUGCAGGAGAGGUAAGCGGAAUUCCUAGUGUAGCGGUGAAAUGCGUAGAUAUUAGGAGGAACACCAGUGGCGAAGGCGGCUUACUGGACUGUAACUGACGUUGAGGCUCGAAAGCGUGGGGAGCAAACA